rnacentral:rRNA from 1 species
GUGGGGAAUCUUCCGCAAUGGACGAAAGUCUGACGGAGCAACGCCGCGUGAGUGAAGAAGGUUUUCGGAUCGUAAAGCUCUUUCGUUAGGGACGAACGUGCUCUUUGUGAAUAAUGAGGAGUAAUGACGGUACCUAAAUAAGAAGCCACGGCUAACUACGUGCCAGCAGCCGCGGUAAUACGUAGGUGGCAAGCGUUGUCCGGAAUUAUUGGGCGUAAAGCGCGCGCAGGCGGGAUAUCAAGUCUGUCUUAAAAGUGCGAGGCUCAACCUCGUGGGGGGACAGAAACUGGUAUUCUUGAGUGUCGGAGAGGAAAGUGGAAUUCCAAGUGUAGCGGUGAAAUGCGUAGAGAUUUGGAAGAACACCAGUGGCGAAGGCGACUUUCUGGACGAUGUCUGACGCUGAGGCGCGAAAGCUAGGGGAGCGAACGGGAUUAGAUACCCCUGUAGUCC